GACGAACGCUGGCGGCGUGCCUAAUACAUGCAAGUCGAGCGGACCUCUUCGGAGGUCAGCGGCGGACGGGUGAGUAACACGUGGGCAACCUGCCUGUAAGACUGGGAUAACUCCGGGAAACCGGAGCUAAUACCGGAUACUAUGUCAAACCGCAUGGUUUGACAUUCAAAGACGGUUUCGGCUGUCACUUACAGAUGGGCCCGCGGCGCAUUAGCUAGUUGGUGAGGUAACGGCUCACCAAGGCGACGAUGCGUAGCCGAACUGAGAGGGUGACCGGCCACACUGGGACUGAGACACGGCCCAGACUCCUACGGGAGGCAGCAGUAGGGAAUCUUCCGCAAUGGACGAAAGUCUGACGGAGCAACGCCGCGUGAGUGAUGAAGGUUUUCGGAUCGUAAAACUCUGUUGUCAGGGAAGAACAAGUGCCGGAGUAACUGCCGGCGCCUUGACGGUACCUGACCAGAAAGCCACGGCUAACUACGUGCCAGCCGCCGCAGUAA
rnacentral:rRNA from 1 species